AAAUUGAAGAGUUUGAUCAUGGCUCAGAUUGAACGCUGGCGGCAGGCCUAACACAUGCAAGUCGAACGGUAACAGGAAGCAGCUUGCUGUUUUGCUGACGAGUGGCGGACGGGUGAGUAAUGUCUGGGAAACUGCCUGAUGGAGGGGGAUAACUACUGGAAACGGUGGCUAAUACCGCAUAACGUCGCAAGACCAAAGAGGGGGACCUUCGGGCCUCUUGCCAUCAGAUGUGCCCAGAUGGGAUUAGCUUGUUGGUGAGGUAACGGCUCACCAAGGCGACGAUCCCUAGCUGGUCUGAGAGGAUGACCAGCCACACUGGAACUGAGACACGGUCCAGACUCCUACGGGAGGCAGCAGUGGGGAAUAUUGCACAAUGGGCGCAAGCCUGAUGCAGCCAUGCCGCGUGUAUGAAGAAGGCCUUCGGGUUGUAAAGUACUUUCAGCGGG
rnacentral:rRNA from 1 species